GAAACUGAAGGGGAAGUUUCGCAUGAAAUUUAAAUUUUAUAGUCGUAUAAAAGCUGACGGUGUCCAGUAAAAAGCUAACCAGUCCAGUAGUUACCGAGGACAGCCGCUGGUUCACUGUUUGAAAAUGAGGGUGUCUGUUAUAAGCGCGCUCACAGUAGGUUUGGUUCUGGCUCUGGCUGUUCUCAUCCAUGGCGAUGGUUACGGUGCCAGCUACGGGCCGAGUUACGGGGUCUCAUACGUACCUUACUACAGCUACGGUGGUGGUGAUGGAUACAACACGUGGAUUCUGGGCUUUAUCGGCAUCCUGUUUAUCUUGGUGAUCUUGUUCAGUCAGAUCAACAACGAUAAUGACACGAGCAGAAUUAUAACUAUUGACUAACCGGAAGUCGCAACUCCGCGUGGCAGUUUUGCGGAUCCUACGUGACCCACGUAAUACAGAAUCACGAAAGUACAAAACUAAAACAUCAUUAUAUAUGCAUACAAAUAUGAUCUUGU